UUUCCGUAGGUGAACCUGCGGAAGGAUCAUUAACGAGUUAGGGUCUUCUAGGCCCGACCUCCCAACCCUUUGUUUACUGAACCAUUGUUGCUUCGGUGGGUCCGUCUCAGGACCGCUGGGGGACCGCCGCGAGGCAUCCCCUGGCCCGUGCCCGCCGAUAGCCCAACUCUUAAACCCUUAAUGAAUCGUGUCUUAUGUCUAAAUCAUGAUUUAAAAUCAAAACAAAACUUUCAACAACGGAUCUCUUGGUUCUGGCAUCGAUGAAGAACGCAGC
rnacentral:misc_RNA from 1 species